rnacentral:rRNA from 1 species
AGCAGUCGCCGCGGGAAUACAGAGGGUGCGAGCGUUAAUCGGAUUUACUGGGCGUAAAGCGUGCGUAGGCGGCUUCUUAAGUCGGAUGUGAAAUCCCUGAGCUUAACUUAGGAAUUGCAUUCGAUACUGGGAAGCUAGAGUAUGGGAUAGGAUGGUAGAAUUCCAGGUGUAGCGGUGAAAUGCGUAGAGAUCUGGAGGAAUACCGAUGGCGAAGGCAGCCAUCUGGCCUAAUACUGACGCUGAGGUACGAAAGCAUGGGGAGCAAACAGGAUUAGAGACCCCAGUAGUCCCUGUCUCUUAUAA